AUACGGAGGGUGCAAGCGUUAUUCGGAAUCACUGGGCGUAAAGGACGCGUAGGCGGGUUGGCAAGUCAGAUGUGAAAUCCUACAGCUUAACUGUAGAACUGCAUUUGAAACUGCUAACCUAGAGUAUGGAAGGGGGAGAUGGAAUUAGUGGUGUAGGGGUAAAAUCCGUAGAUAUCACUAGGAAUACCGAAAGCGAAGGCGAUCUCCUGGAACAUAACUGACGCUAAGGCGUGAAAGCGUGGGGAGCAAACAGGAUUAGAAACCCUAGUAGUCC
rnacentral:rRNA from 1 species